rnacentral:rRNA from 1 species
AACGAACGCUGGCGGCAGGCUUAACACAUGCAAGUCGAACGGGCCCUUCGGGGUCAGUGGCAGACGGGUGAGUAACACGUGGGAACGUGCCCUUCAGUUCGGAAUAACCCAGGGAAACUUGGGCUAAUACCGGAUACGCCCUUUUGGGGAAAGAUUUAUCGCUGAAGGAUCGGCCCGCGUCUGAUUAGCUAGUUGGUGGGGUAAAGGCUCACCAAGGCGACGAUCAGUAGCUGGUCUGAGAGGAUGAUCAGCCACACUGGGACUGAGACACGGCCCAGACUCCUACGGGAGGCAGCAGUGGGGAAUAUUGGACAAUGGGCGCAAGCCUGAUCCAGCCAUGCCGCGUGAGUGAUGAAGGCCUUAGGGUUGUAAAGCUCUUUCGGCGGGGACGAUAAUGACGGUACCCGCAGAAGAAGCCCCGGCUAACUUCGUGCCAGCAGCCGCGGUAAGAC